CCUACGGGAGUCAGCAGUGAGGAAUAUUGGUCAAUGGACGGAAGUCUGAACCAGCCAUGCCGCGUGCAGGAAGACGGCUCUAUGAGUUGUAAACUGCUUUUGUACAAGGGUAAACCUGAAUACGUGUAUUCCCCUGACAGUACUUUACGCAUAAGCAUCGGCUAACUCCGUGCCAGCAGCCGCAGUAAUACGGAGGAUCCAAGCGUUAUCCGGAUUUCUUGGGGUUAAAGGGGGCGUAGGCGGAUUUAUCAGUUAGCGGUGAAAUGCCCGGGCUUAACUCGGGCACUGCCGCUGAUACUGUGGAGCUAGAGAGUAGGUGCGGUAGGCGGAAUGUAUGGUGUAGCGGUGAAAUGCUUAGAGAUCAUACAGAACACCGAUUGCGAAGGCAGCUUACCGAGGUAGAUCUGACGUUGAGGCACGAAAGCGUGGGGAGCGAACAGGAUUAGAUACCCCUGUAGUC
rnacentral:rRNA from 1 species